rnacentral:rRNA from 1 species
CCCUGGGAUACUUAGUACGGCGAGUGAAGCGGUAAAAGCUCAAAUUUGAAAUCUGGUACUUUCAGUGCCCGAGUUGUAAUUUGUAGAAUUUGUCUUUGAUUAGGUCCUUGUCUAUGUUCCUUGGAACAGGACGUCAUAGAGGGUGAGAAUCCCGUUUGGCGAGGAUACCUUUUCUCUGUAAGACUUUUUCGAAGAGUCGAGUUGUUUGGGAAUGCAGCUCAAAGUGGGUGGUAAAUUCCAUCUAAAGCUAAAUAUUGGCGAGAGACCGAUAGCGAACAAGUACAGUGAUGGAAAGAUGAAAAGAACUUUGAAAAGAGAGUGAAAAAGUACGUGAAAUUGUUGAAAGGGAAGGGCAUUUGAUCAGACAUGGUGUUUUUUGCAUGCACUCGCCUCUCGUGGGCUUGGGCCUCUCAAAAAUUUCACUGGGCCAACAUCAAUUCUGGCAGCAGGAUAAAUCAUUAAGAAUGUAGCUACUUCGGUAGUGUUAUAGCUUUUUGGAAUACUGUUAGCCGGGAUUGAGGACUGCGCUUCGGCAAGGAUGUUGGCAUAAUGGUUAAAUGCCGCCCGUCUUGACCCCCCGGACCA